rnacentral:rRNA from 1 species
AUGUUACUCAUCAGCUUCUUACUUUCAAUGUGCAAACUUGUCUUUAGACGUUUCAGUCAAGCUAGCUGUCCUUGCAAUAUCUGUUGCAGCUUCAGUUAUUUUAGGUGUAGCCUGCUAUGGUACUCAUCAGGUUCGUAUUUUCAAUGUGCAAACGUGUCUUUAGAUGUUUCAGUCAAGCUCAUAUGCAAUUUAGCUGUCCUUGCAAUAUCUGUUUCUGCUUCAGUUAUUCUAGGUGUAGCCUGCUAUUGUACUCAUCAUGUUCUUACUUUCAAUGUGGAACCUGUCUUUAAAUGUUUCAGUCAAGCUCAUAGCAAAUUAGCUGUCAUUCUUGCAAUAUCUGUUACUGCUUGA